GCCAAGGUGGCGAAAUUGGUAGACGCACGGGACUCAAAAUCCCGCGGUGGCAACACUAUGUCGGUUCGAGUCCGACCCUUGGUA
rnacentral:tRNA from 1 species